rnacentral:lncRNA from 1 species
CUCAAUUUUCAUCUUAAAAUAAUGCUUUUAUAUUUUUGCAGUGGGCAAUUACAGGCAUCACAGAUCACAGGAAAAACAGAUGUGCUGCCGACCAGUUAACUUAGUCUUGCAGAAAACUGUCUACAGCCAAACAGCAGCAGAUAGCAACUUACCCGUUCCACUUCAUUACUGCAGUAAGUUGUGAAUGGCAAGGCUUGUAAUUUGUACCACUUAGACACUAACAUUUUUAAGCAUAAGGAUUUUCUUUCUUUUAAAAAAACCCAAAGUAACAACUAACAAGCACCUUCGCUUUUGCGACAGUUGAUUAGAACAGCUGAAGUCACAAAGUAAAGAGAGAAAUUCUGAGCUUUCAACAACAGAGCUGUGUGUGUUAUGUGAGUUUCAUACAGUAUGUAGGGCAGAACUCUGAGCUCUGUGGCAUGGAUAGAAAAGUAAUUCAAUUACUGUGGAAUUAAAAUCAACUGCAUUACACUGGAAAAAAAACAGGUGACACUGAGAGCAGGAAGGAGGGUUUGGCACCUUGCAAGGCUGGGACACACACAACCCAUGGCUUACCACUCUCCUUGUUGCUGGGACUGUUCAGAGAGGCCCGAGUACAGGACAGUCAGCGUAGCCCAAGCACUGGGCACAUUCUACCAGACAGUUAAAAGUUGUAGACCUGACUGUGCGAAUUUCUGAGUGGUGGAACUCUGUUGUCUGUGCUAAAUUCAAGAGAGGACAAGAAGAAUGGCAGAAGAGGAAUAUGGCUUCAGAAAAGAUUGAAACUCAUCCUGUUCCUGGCUGAAUAAGGAUCUAAAUUCCUGAAAACUACAAUUCCAGAGCACAAUACAGGAAAUAUUUGACGAAAAUAUAUAAAUGGUGAUAUGCAGAAGUUCGAGGUCCACACAGAGCUUCGGUGAUGAUAUUAAAUAAUAAAUCAGUACUAGUUACUCCA